ensembl:lncRNA
AUGAAAUAUGGAAAUAUGUACAUAGUUGGAUUUUACAUAGUUAUUUUUUUGAACAAGAAAAAUGCAAUUGCUGUGGCGCCUGCAUUAUGGGUAGAGGAGGUGAAUGGGGUUCUGAUUUGCUACUGGCCCCGUAGAAACGCUGCUGCCAUGGCAAAGGCCUCCCAAAGGCCAGAUAAGGAGCUCUGGAAGCGGCACAAAAUAAGAAUACUCUCCGAGACUGACAACUAUAAGACAGCCAGAGAGCGAGCCAAAAAAGCUGUAGAAAGUUCAAACGUGGACACAGAAGAAGAGGUGCUAAAAGAGCGGAAAAAAAAGGUACCAUCAAAAUACUGGACAGAGAGUGAAGGAGAAUGUGAGAUUCCUACCAAAAAGGAGAAAAAAAUGUCCACAUCCUCUCAAAAGCCAUCAAGCCUCCCAAAGCCUCCAAGUUACAAACCACCUACUGACAUCACAAUCACAGCUCACUCACCUGAGGAAGAUGAGCCAUCCCUGCCAAAUCUUUCAGCUAAUAAUACUUUCCAUGAUUUCCAGCAUCUCAUCGAGCAAUCUGAGCAGCGGAUGCUCCUCGCAAUAGAGAGAAUGUCGACAGAUAUUUCAAAUUCUAUUGAGCGUCUGGUCCAGACUAUUCAACAGAAUCAUCCUGGUCCGGCAACCGUCACAACACCACCACAGGAGACCAUUGAGAGGCCCUGCAAAACAGUGCAGGAGCUGCAAGCUUUCAUAUUAAAACUUGAAGGCCCAGAAGGGAAAAAAAGGAUGAUACAGUUUUUGAGCCUGAUGGGAGGUAGCAACAUUGGAGACGCUGUGAGGAGAAUCCUUCGGAAAAUAGCUACCAAUGAGGCCUGGUCAAAUUACAGCCUGAAAGGCCGAAAAGGAAAACUGACCUUCAUUGGGACAGCGCUUCACCAUAUUGUUUUAAGUGCUUGUGCCAAACAAUUUCCGAAACACACAGAAAAGGAAAUUGAUAGGGGAAACCCUCAAACAUGCACCUCACCGUGCCAAGGUGGUCGCGACACCUGCAGCGGAAGAAGAACUUCGGGCACCUCCUGGGGAUGGAGACAAUGA